UAAUACGUAGGGGGCAAGCGUUGUCCGGAAUCAUUGGGCGUAAAGAGCGUGUAGGCGGUCCGGUAAGUCGGCUGUGAAAGUCCAGGGCUCAACCCUGGGAUGCCGGUCGAUACUGCCGGACUAGAGUUCGGAAGAGGCGAGUGGAAUUCCCGGUGUAGCGGUGAAAUGCGCAGAUAUCGGGAGGAACACCUAUGGCGAAGGCAGCUCGCUGGGACGUUACUGACGCUGAGACGCGAAAGCGUGGGGAGCAAACAGGAUUAGAUACCCUGGUAGUCCACGCCGUAAACGAUGGGUGCUAGACGUUGGCGAGCUUGCUCGUCAGUGUCGCAGCUAACGCGUUAAGCACCCCGCCUGGGGAGUACGGCCGCAAGGUUG
rnacentral:rRNA from 1 species